AUCUGUCUUCACUCAUUAGUCUAGCGGCUUCUUCACCGGUCGUCGAUCUAUCCCUCAAGUGAGUUUUCUUGAUUUCCGAUCCGCCGAAGAUCUAUCUUUUAAUUAAAGGUUUUGCGGUGAAAUGAUGAUUGGAAAUGGAAGAUAUGGAGAAUUUUACAAAGUUCCUACUUUUGUAAACGGGCUGCAACGAUUAAAGAUUGACUCAGUGUUUUAGGUGGACUAGACUACUUUCAUAAUUAUGUUGGCGUUUAACUGGGAGUUAAACAUCCUAACAUCAAUAGCUCAAAUGUUCCCAUUUGUGCAUAUAAGAAGGCUUGUGGUGAAUAUGCAAAGGUCUUUAAUAGAUCUGGUGGAUUUGGUAAGGCCUAUAAAUGUCGUAACAAAAUUUUAUUUUAGGAUGUGUCUGAUCAUCGACAAAAAAUCUUGGUUUAGAUCUGAAGUUGAAAUGCUUUCCAAGGUUUUUUCUUAUUAUUUGACGAGAUGAUCCUUGUGUACGAAUAUGUAUUUAAGGAACGGUAUGAAAUCAACUACACAAAAGUUUUUCUUAUAAAUGAUGCUAGAUAUUACAUGUGGGAACUAAACUACCUUCAUACAAACGUUUAUAGUCAACAUAUUGUUGUAAAGACCUGGCAUAAGGGUUUCCAAAGAUGUAUAGAGAUGAUAUUUGCAUUGAAAAAGCAUGUCCUGAUCAUCACUUGAUCAUAACAUUCAAGUUGUGUUGGGAUAACAACUAAGUUUAGUGUUAGGUUUGAUAUGUUUUCUAAGCUUUAACAGAUUGAAUGUUGUAAUGAUAAAGAUUAUCUUUGUAUUUAUGAAGUUAAGUUCUUUUUGUUUUUUUUC